rnacentral:rRNA from 1 species
CAGCAGCCGCGGGAACACGUAGGUGGCAAGCGUUGUCCGGAAUUAUUGGGCGUAAAGGGCUCGCAGGCGGUUUCUUAAGUCUGAUGUGAAAGCCCCCGGCUCAACCGGGGAGGGUCAUUGGAAACUGGGAAACUUGAGUGCAGAAGAGGAGAGUGGAAUUCCACGCGUAGCGGUGAAAUGCGUAGAGAUGUGGAGGAACACCAGUGGCGAAGGCGACUCUCUGGUCUGUAACUGACGCUGAGGAGCGAAAGCGUGGGGAGCGAACAGGAUUAGAUACCCGUGUAGUCCCUGUCUCUUAUAC